CAGCGGUCAAGGAUGAGUUGAUGAGCGAGGUGAGGUAAGGGAGAAGGUCUCCGGAAAUGGUCUGGAGAAGAGAGGAGGGGAUAGGGUCAAGCGGGCAGGUUGUUGGGCGGCCGGCCGUCACAAGACGCGAGAUUUCAUCUGGAGAGAGAGGGGAGAAAGAGGUCAAAGCACAGGGUAGGGCAGUGUGACCUUGACCUUCACUGUCAUGGAGAGACAGACUAAUCUCUUGCUCUGUUGGUGAAGACUGUUGUCUGUUGACUAUGAGUGGCGUGUGAUGUUGUCCAUUUAGGUCCAACGUUGUGAGUUACAGCUCUACUUGGCGUUAGCCCGGUCCCAGAUCUGGUUGAGAUUUGGCCUACUCCUCCGUUGUCAUCGUUGGCAUGACAACUCCAGGAGGAGUCGGCAGAAGCAGACUGGCACCCAGGCUAUCUUGGUGUGGAACACAAUGUACUCUGACAGUGGUGCCACUGCCUUGACCUGGAUAGAUCACACAGUCAGGGUGCUGCGCAGUAGGAGGAGGUCAAAGGGCGGUGAAUGAAGUGGACAGCAGAGCCAUAUAUUUAGAAAAGCUCAGCCAGCUUUUAAAGAACUUUGAACAUUGUUCUAAAUUCUAGACAUCCAGUUAUAUAGUAUUGUUUAAAUAUUCCCUGUGAAAUGUUUAACGGGGAGCCAAAAUGGCUGCCUUAGAAUCUUGUGGUGUCAUGUAAAUGCUACGUCAAUGUCCCAACUCUAAAUGUCUCUGAUGGCCACUAAUGGGAGUCUUGUUACAGUGUGUUCCCAGUCCUCACAUUGUUUCAAUAAACCACACAGGAGCAUCAAUCAAAGUGCAGUGUUAUUUUACCUUGUGUUAUUGGAAUCCCCGGCAACCCCGUAAUCUGAGCCCUUAGUGUGGUGGACGUGAAGAUAAAACAACUUAAUUUUGACCUCAACUUCUCUCGUACUGAAGGUCACUAAGGGCACAUCCAAAAUGGCACUCUAUUCGCUAUAUAGUGCACUACUUUUGAUCAGGACCCAGAUCAAAAGUAGUCCACUAUAUAGGGAAUAGUGUGCCAAGGACCUGGUCAAAAGUAGUCCACUAUAUAGGGAAUAGUGUGCCAAGGACCUGGUCAAAAGUAGUCCACUAAGUAGGGAAUAAGGUGCCAAGGACCUGGUCAAAAGUAGUCCACUAUAUAGGGAAUAGUGUGCCAAGGACCUGGUCAAAAGUAGUCCACUAUAUAGGGAAUAGUGUGCCAAGGACCUGGUCAAAAGUAGUCCACUAAGUAGAGAAUAGAGUGCCAAGGACCUGGUCAAAAGUAGUCCACUAAGUAGGGAAUAGGGUGCCAAGGACCUGGUCAAAAGUAGUCCACUAUGUAGGGAAUAGGGUGCCAAGGACCUGGUCAAAAGUAGUUCACUAUGUAGGGAAUAGGGUGCCAUGCAGGCUAUGCGUCUAUGAUUGACAGGUGAAGACACAGACACUGAUCUGUUGAAUCUGCUGUUGGUAGUGAUACCACACGGUGGCCCAGACCAGACUUCAUGGUUGACUGUAGUGUAAACAUCAUCUAUUCUAUUUAGAGAGAGAGCAGAUCCUGUAGAUUUCUCUUGGCGUCUAUGUGUGUGUGUGUGAGAGAGAGCGAGAACAGUAUGGGGCCCUGCCUGCUUAGUUAGCGUGUGGAUUAACCAGGAUCACAUUGGUAAUCUCUGAAGGCACAAAGUUACCCAGACAUCCCUGCUUGGCUGACCUCUGACCCCUGGAAAAUAAAGUAUGUGAACUCACAGAACCUGGCUGGGCCCUGUCCAGAAACAUCCCCUAACCCCUCUACCCAUGGCCUAACCACUUCAUGUAGUACUGGAUAGCUGUCAGCAGGUUGGUCUCAACCCUGACUUCCAUUUAUGUCACAUUUUCAUGUAGUCUCCCACUGACAUCAACACAUGACUGAGUUAUGGCCUAGGCCUCUGGGCUGUUUGUGUUGUUUCUGGGCAGGGCCCUGGAGAAGGCCUACUGUCUACUCUCUGUGGCCUAGGCCUCUGGGCUGUUUGUGUGUUUCUGGACAGGCCCUGGAGAAGGCCUACUGUCUACUCUGUGGCCUAGGCCUCUGGGCUGUUUGUGUGUUUCUGGACAGGGCCCUGGAGAAGGCCUACUGUCUACUCUCUGUGGCCUAGGCCUCUGGGCUGUUUGUGUGUUUCUGGACAGGGCCCUGGAGAAGGCCUACUGUCUACUCUCUGUGGCCUAGGCCUUUGGGCUGUUUGUGUGUUUCUGGACAGGCCCUGGAGAAGGCCUACUGUCUACUCUCUGUGGCCUAGGCCUCUGGGCUGUUUGUGUGUUUCUGGACAGGGCCCUGGAGAAGGCCUACUGUCUACUCUCUGUGGCCUAGGCCUUUGGGCUGUUUGUGUGUUUCUGGACAGGGCCCUGGAGAAGGCCUACUGUCUACUCUCUGUGGCCUAGGCCUCUGGGCUGUUUGUGUGUUUCUGGGCAGGGCCCUGGAGAAGGCCUACUGUCUACUCUCUGUGGCCUAGGCCUCUGGGCUGUUUGUGUGUUUCUGGGCAGGGCCCUGGAGAAGGCCUACUGUCUACUCUCUGUGGCCUAGGCCUCUGGGCUGUUUGUGUGUUUCUGGACAGGCCCUGGAGAAGGCCUACUGUCUACUCUCUGUGGCCUAGGCCUCUGGGCUGUUUGUGUGUUUCUGGACAGGCCCUGGAGAAGGCCUACUGUCUACUCUCUGUGGCCUAGGCCUCUGGGCUGUUUGUGUGUUUCUGGACAGGGCCCUGGAGAAGGCCUACUGUCUACUCUCUGUGGCCUAGGCCUCUGGGCUGUUUGUGUGUUUCUGGACAGGGCCCUGGAGAAGGCCUACUGUCUACUCUCUGUGGCCUAGGCCUUUGGGCUGUUUGUGUGUUUCUGGACAGGGCCCUGGAGAAGGCCUACUGUCUACUCUCUGUGGCCUAGGCCUCUGGGCUGUUUGUGUGUUUCUGGGCAGGGCCCUGGAGAAGGCCUACUGUCUACUCUCUGUGGCCUAGGCCUCUGGGCUGUUUGUGUGUUUCUGGACAGGGCCCUGGAGAAGGCCUACUGUCUACUCUCUGUGGCCUAGGCCUCUGGGCUGUUUGUGUGUUUCUGGACAGGGCCCUGGAGAAGGCCUACUGUCUACUCUGCCGACAUGGAGAAUGGAAUACUGCUCAUCUGAAACUGUCCCAAUGAAUGCAUCGACAUUGGGAUUUUAUAAUUUGUUGUUUCAAAGCAAAGUGUGUUUUGACUAUAAUGAUGAUCCAUGUGUGUGUUUUGACUAUAAUGAUGAUCCAUGUGUGUUUUGACUAUAAUGAUGAUGAAAAUGGAAUGGAAAUGCCUUGGUCAUAAUGACUAACACAUUUUAUUACGAUGGUUUGUAGAAAUAUACCCAUUGUAUAAAUGGAUAGAUUAACAGUGGGUCAAAUAAAGUGAUUUAAAGUUUAA